rnacentral:rRNA from 1 species
CGUAGGUGGCAAGCGUUGUCCGGAUUUACUGGGCGUAAAGGGAGCGUAGGCGGACUUUUAAGUGAGAUGUGAAAUACCCGGGCUCAACUUGGGUGCUGCAUUUCAAACUGGAAGUCUAGAGUGCAGGAGAGGAGAAUGGAAUUCCUAGUGUAGCGGUGAAAUGCGUAGAGAUUAGGAAGAACACCAGUGGCGAAGGCGAUUCUCUGGACUGUAACUGACGCUGAGGCUCGAAAGCGUGGGGGAGCAAACAGGAUU